GGUCCCAUAGCUCAGCGGGAGAGCGCUCGCCUCACACGCGAGAGGUCGCUGGUUCGAACCCAGCUGGGACCACCA
rnacentral:tRNA from 1 species